rnacentral:rRNA from 1 species
CCCUUAGAUGUUCUGGGCCGCACGCGCGCUACACUGACGAAGUCAGCGAGCACGUCCUACGCCGACAGGUGCGGGGAAUCUUGUCAAACUUCGUCGUGAUGGGGAUUGAUUAUUGAAAUUCUUGAUCAUCAACGAGGAAUUCCUAGUAAGCGCAAGUCAGCAGCUUGCGUUGAUUACGUCCCUGCCCUUUGUACACACCGCCCGUCGCUACUACCGAUUGAAUGGUUUAGUGAGAUCUUCGGAUUGGCGCCACUGCGGCUCAGCAAUGGGCUCGGUGGAUGCCGAAAAGUUGAUCAAACUUGAUCAUUUAGAGGAAGUAAAAGUCGUAACA